GCCGUGGUUGCACAAUGGUUAAGUGCUUGGCUGCUAAUCAAAAGUUGGUGGUUUGAACCCACCAGCGGCU
rnacentral:tRNA from 1 species